rnacentral:rRNA from 1 species
GAUGAACGCUAGCUACAGGCUUAACACAUGCAAGUCGAGGGGAAACGAUAGAGAAAGCUUGCUUUUUCUAGGCGUCGACCGGCGCACGGGUGAGUAACGCGUAUCCAACCUGCCCAUCACUUGGGGAUAACCUUGCGAAAGUAAGACUAAUACCCAAUGACGUCCAUAGAAGACAUCUGAAAUGGUUUAAAGAUUUAUAGGUGAUGGAUGGGGAUGCGUCUGAUUAGCUUGUUGGCGGGGUAACGGCCCACCAAGGCGACGAUCAGUAGGGGUUCUGAGAGGAAGGUCCCCCACAUUGGAACUGAGACACGGUCCAAACUCCUACGGGAGGCAGCAGUGAGGAAUAUUGGUCAAUGGACGAGAGUCUGAACCAGCCAAGUAGCGUGCAGGAUGACGGCCCUAUGGGUUGUAAACUGCUUUUAUAAGGGAAUAAAGUGGGAGUCGUGACUCCUUUUGCAUGUACCUUAUGAAUAAGGACCGGCUAAUUCCGUGCCAGCAGCCGCAGUAA